rnacentral:lncRNA from 1 species
CAAAAAAAGAAGCAGGUUAUGAUGUUCACUCUUGACUGUACCCACCUUGUAGAAAAUGGAAUCAUAGAUGCUGCCAAUUUUGAGCAGUUUUUGCAAGAGAGGAUUAAAGUGAAUGGAAAAGCUGGGAAUCUUGGUGGAGCAUUAUAACCAUCGAAAGGAGCAACAGCAAGAUCACUGUGACUUCUGAGGUACCUUUUUCCAAAAGGUAUUUGAAAUAUCUCACCAAAAAAUAUUUGAAGAAUAAUCUAUGUGAUUUGUUGUGUGUAGUUGCUAACAGCAAAAAGAGUUAUUAUGAAUGACGUUAAUUCCAGAUUA